CCCAUAUUGAAGUUUGAGAAGUACAGUACCAGAACCCCACCACCCCCGCCAGGGUCAUUCUGCAAGAAAACUGUCUGGCUGGCUCACUGCUCUAUCUCCCAGUGCCUAAAAUAAUGGACCCUCAAUUGUUUUGUAAGAGGGAAAGAUGUCAGGUUGGCAGAAUGCCUGGCAAACUGGUAAGCCAAGGUCAAAUUUGGCUGCAGAGGUGUUUUGUUUGGUCUUUCACUUUUUAAAAUUUGGAUUCAUAGACAGGACUGAAAAAAUCAAGAGAGCUCACAUAAAAAUUAAGCUUUGUGGCUUUUCCUUAAGAAAAAACUAUUAGCUGUUGCAACUCUAUGCUUAACAUACCUUCCCAGUUUGUCAGAGUUCCCUGCUAACCCUCCUUUGCCCCUUUGCCUGUCUGGCUUCCACAGAUACUUAAGUGGCAACCCUGAGAAUCACUCAAGUUAUAAGCCCAGCAUCCUAUGAUGUCUUUGCUGCUGCUAAGUCGCUGCAGUCGUGUCCGACUCUGUGCGACCCCAUAGACGGCAGCCCACCAGGCUCCCCCAUCCCUGGGAUUCUCAAGGCAAGAACACUGGAGUGGGUUGCCAUUUCCUUCUCCAAUGCAAGGAGUCAGCAAAAGUCAGUCAUAUCGCAGUUAUCUCUUACAUAACUCCCAAUAAACUCAGAGGCAAUGAAGACAUCUUUCCUACCCCAUGUCCCAAGCUCUCAGCACAAUGCCUGGCAAAAAGGAGUGACUAAAAUGCUUUAUAAAAAAAAGGAAGUUUUUUUUAAUUAUUAUUUUUUAAUCCCUGUGGUGUGUAAUAUUGUUUUAUCUUUUUAUAAAGUUGAAUCUAUGUACCAAAAAAGUAUAUAUCUGUUAAUUGGACAGCUCAGUGAAUUUUCACAAAAUGGGUACACCUCAUGUAAGCAGCACCCAGACUGAGAAAGAGUACAGGACCAACAACCCCAUAGUCCCCUCUGUGCCCUGUGUUGGGGGCCCCAAGACCAUCCCCCUACAGGACUCAGCAUAUAGUCCUAUUCAUAGAUGGCUAGGAUUUAUUACAGUGAAAGGUUAUGAAGCAAAAUCAGCCAAGGGAAAGGUGCACAGAGCAAAAUCCAGAGGAAACCAGGCACAAGCUUCCCAAAGUCUUCUCCCAGUGGAGUCAGUCACACAGGACACACUUAAUUCCUCCAGCAAUGAGUGUGACAUCAUGUAUGAAAUGUUAUUUACCAGAGAAGCUCAUUAGAGACUCCAGCCCGGGGCUUUUCUGGGGCUUGGUCAUACAGGCACCCUCUGCCUGUAACACACCAAAAUUCUACAUUCCUGGAAGGAAAGCAGGCAUGCAGGAUAAACCACACUGUUUACACAGUUUAAGUUCAGUAAGCAACUCCUAUCAUUUAGGGAAUGGUGAGAACUCUCCUGAAAUUCAAGAACCCAGAUGCCAGCUGAGGGCCAAUCUUCCAGCUGAUGGCACUGGGAGCUUUCCUUCAGGAAAAGGGGAAAGUUUCCAGAAUAUUCCUGAGAAAUGAAGAUCAUAAAUGCUCUCCCCGCCCCCCAAAGCUCCCUGGGUGCCAGGCUUUUGAUCAGCAGUACUAACCUGACAUUUUUUCAAUAAUCUUUUAUUCUCAUCCAGGCCUUUCAUCCAGAAGGGCUGUGUGCAAGAGACGUGGGAAUAAUUUUGAAGAUAAAUAUUUUAAUAUAAUUUAACCAGAAAAAUAUUCAGGAAUUGAUCAGGAUAUGCUAUGGGCUAAACUGUGUUUUCCCCAAAUUAUAUGCUGAAGUCCUAACCUCCAGUACUGAAUGUGACUGUAUUUGGAGAUACGGCCUUCAAAGAGGUGAUUAAAGUAAAAUGGGUGGGCCCUAUCUAAUAUGACUGGUGUUCUUAUAAGAAGAGAUUAAGACACAGACAGACAGAGGGGCAACCGUGUGAAGAUACAGUGAGAAGGCUGCCAGCUGCAGGCCUAGGAGACAGGCCUUAGGAGAAACGUGCCAACUGCUUGCUCUGGGACUUCUAGCCUCUAGGACUGUGAGAAAAUACAUUUCGAUUUUUUAAGCCAUCCAGUCUGUGCUAUUUUGUUAUUGCAGCCCUAGCACACUAAUAGAGGAUGAAGUCCUCAAUGUAAAAAUUUUCAUAGUGGGUUUAUAUAACCUUCCACCCCUUUUCCCCAGAGACAGCCUACAAAAGAUCAGUCCUUUUCCAGAGACAGCUACACCGGAGUAGUCACUCUACCUUACAAGGUGUGUGUACAGAGGGGAAAGUGAGGAGGCGGAGUAAGCCUAUCAACCCGUAGUAGUAAAGUUGCAGCUCACCCAGGAGGCAGAGCACAGAAAUCAAAAGCAUCGAGCCACCCCCAGGGAAGGCCCAGAUCUGAUAUGUCAAAAGCAGGAGGCGGCCGGCGGUCAGAGUCCCUGUGAUGUGCCCUCCUCCAACUUGCAGGUUUUGGCAGAGAUCACAAGUCAGGAUGCAAUCAGCCUCUGCAUUAGACAUAAAAGAGCUGAUCAGCAGCUUGAUUUUAGACGGUCCCAUCAAAGAAUGGCUCCUUCCUGUGGGCAUUAGUAUGUGACACGGUUGGUACAGCCAGCAUCCACAAUGUACGCUGUCAUCAUUCAGAGCUCCAGAGAGGGGCCCUAAAUCUCCAGUGGUCCCAGCGUCCGCCUGAGUUCUGCGCAGGGAGUCUGGGUCUGCUUUCAGUUCAGCACUGCUCCUUGGGAAGCUGAGAGAGUGUACUGACAGCCAGCAUCAGGUUUCAGCUUAGAGUGAGGUCCAGGCAACAAGGGUCAGUGAACUGGGGAUUCCAAUCAAGGUGGGUACUUUUCUUCAGCAAAGGCGUGCUGCAGUGCCAGACAGCAUGGUACCCCUUUUGUCAGUCUCAGAGUCCAAACUGACCCACUCAAAAACAUGCAUAUCAGACUGAACAAUCAUCAGCCUCUAAGGGUCAGACAUCUGAUUUCAACAAGGGCCAAUGAGAAACUUAACUAACUGCUUUUUCAAAAUCCAAAUGUGUGUUUCUAUUCAGAGAGUGCCUCUCUUCUUAUGUUGUCACCCUCUUUGCAGAGGUUUCAACAGACACAAAUCAUAGCAAAAAUCAUCAGGUAUGGAGACUUGUUCUGGUUCUAAAAUCCAAAGAAUUUAAAUUCCAACCUACCUAUGGAGAGGAAAAGCAAGGAAGCUAUACCCCACCAAUACCUUCUUAAUUUAAAUUUUGUAUGUUUGAGAUGGCUCCACUAGCACUUAUGGAAUUACAAGCAUGUAACAUUAUAAGUCAAUUUUAUCGUAUCUCCAGAUAAAAUGGCCACAAAAUACAAAGCCAUUUUUUAAAAACUUCCCUUUUUUUCUCAUUGCAAAUGUACUCAAACCCCUAGUAGUAAAUUCAGCAAGGUACAGGGUUAUCAUCUCAGGCCAGCAGUGUUCACUCUUUCUUGCACAGGCCCCCUUUCAGUAAUACCCCCCCCCACCAAGGAUAUCCACUAUCAUACAUUUUUAAGCAACAAUUCAACCAAUUAAAAAAAAAUUAGGGAAUUCCCUGGUGGUCCAAUGACUGGGUCUCCCAGCUUUCACUGCCAAGGGCACAGGUUCAAUCCCUGGUCCGGGAACUAGGAUCCCACAAGCCUCAGUGCAUGGUCAAAAAAAAUUUUUUUUUUAAUUUAAAAAGUUAAGACUGUUUUUCAUUCAUACAUGCAAAGGCCUGUUGAGCACCCACUGCAUGUAUGUUUUAUUUAUUUCAUUCAGGAACACUUACUAAAAAAUUUAUGAAGCAUUAAAGAAACUUUUAAUUCCCUUUCAGCCAUCCUUUAACAACUGUUUUCAUAUUCCCUUCUAGUCCUUAUCAACAGGGAGUUUCAAAUUUAUAUAGCUGCAACUGUUUCACGUUAAUACAAUCUAUCUGCAUGGUAUCAGUAAUAGUAAUACUAAUAGUGAGCCUUUAUGAACUUACUAUAUUCCAGGUAUGGGGCUAAGAGCUUUAUAGAGAUGAUUUCAUUUAAUCCACACAAAGACCCUAGGAGAAAAGGAUUACUUUUCCCACUUAAAGAUAAGGAAAUGAGCACUUCUACAUCAGGUUACUUGCCUAAGGUCAUGCAGGCAGGAGGUAGCAAGCUUGAAUUCCAACUCAAUUCUGCUGACUCCAAAGCAUACCUGUUGGCACAUUGCCUCUCAGGGCCUUGUUCUGGCAAGAACCAAAUCCCAGGGCUUCCCUGGUGGCUCAGCGGUAAAGAAUCUGCCUGUCAAUGCAUGAGACACUGGCACUGAGACAAUCCCCGGUCCAGCAAGAUCCCACAUGCCUCGGAGCAACUAAGCUCGUGUACUGCAGCUACUGAGCCUGUGCUCUAAAGCCCAGGAACUGGAACUACUUGAGCACGUGUGCCCUAGAGACCAUGCUCUGCAACAAGAGAAGCCACUGAAAUGAGAAGCCUGAGCACUGCAACAAAGAGUAGAUGCCCUGCUCUUCGCAACUAGAGAAAAGCCCGUGCACAGUAACAAAGAUAUAGCACAGUUCAAAAAUAAAUAAAUAACAUUAUUUUUAAAAAGAACCAAAUCCCAGACUCCUUUGGUUCACUAGCUCACUCACUCACUCAUUCACUCCUACCAAAAAGCAAUAUGACAUGCUUAAACUCAUGGUCUGAAGAAACCCCGGGUUCAAACACCAUGUGAUUUCAGCAAGUGACUGAACCUCUCUCUGCCUCAAUUUCCAGGUCUAUAAAACAGGGAUGGUUACGGUGCCUUUCUCCCAGGAUUCUAUCUAGGAGAAGACAUGCCUAUCUCCUAAGGUUUUCGUGGAGAAAUUCUAAGAGGAAUCUCUUAGAAUAAUGUUGUUAUUAUUACUGAAAUAAAAAGAACCUGUACCUAAUCCCAGGGAGCUCGGAGUCUUCAACAGGACUUUCCAGUUCCUGGGCCUCUCAAAUUUCCAUACUUCUCCCCUCUCCUCUGGUCAUACUGUUUCCUCAGCCUCUUGCUACUUUCAUCAAAAACCAGAAAGUCCAACCAGCAGAUAUGAAAGGCUGAGAUGAAUGUAGCUAAAGAAAAGUUGGCAGGGCCAAGAAAACCCACACAGGCUUCAGACUUAGGAUCAAAGUCAGAGAGGAGUGAACGCCAUUCCUGUGUCUCUUUCUUGAAUGAUUUUCGUACGCACAACCAUCUGCCUGGUAUCCAAUGGCCUUGGAGGUACAGAACAAGCUGUUCAGUCUCCUUGGGGAAGCAGGAUGUCCUGGGCCACCUCUUCUCACUUUAGGAUCCAGGUCAGAGUGCAUAACAAGAAUAGGUGUGGCCAACAUGCAGCAGAAACUUCAAGAAAGCAAGGGAUAACCAACAGAGCAGCAAGUGCAGUCCUCAGGGUAAGGGCUUUGCUGCAUAAAACAUGGACUUUGCAGCCAGAUAAGACUUGGCUUUGAUUCCAGCUCAGCCAUUUAUUAGCUAUGUGAUAUUGGGCAAAUUUACCUAACCUCUCUUAAGAUUGGCCUCCUUGACACUGUAUGAUGGGUUGUAAAAAUCCCUACUUUUUUUUGACAGUUGGGAGGAGUAAAGGUUUUCUAAUAAGCGUCUGCCACCCUACAGAUACAAAGCAAGGAAGGGUGAUUUCUUUGCCCCGCCUUUUCUUUGUGAUGAAGGGAAAGAUGAUAGGGAAAGAUGGUCUUAAUUUCACUUUAAAUUUUUAAAAAUAUAUAGGAAUGCUGCACCUUACACUAUAAAGGGUUCACUUCCUAACAACAGUGUAAGACAUACAUAAGAGGCUGGGACACAAGAUCACCGGGUCAGGAAGAUCCCCCAGAGCGGGGGAUGGCAACCCAUUCCAGUAUUCUUGCCUGGAGAAUCCACGGACAGAGGAACCUGGCAGGUUACAGUCCAUGGAAUCACAAAGAGUUGGACACAACUAAAGUGACCAGCAUGCUCACAGGCGUACAUAAUAGUAUGGCACACCCAUAUACUGUAAGAUGUAUCAUUUCUAAUAAUACUAGUUAUAACUACCAUUUACUGAGUGCUCACCCUGAGUCCCUACACAUGCGUUACAUGUAUGAAUGCAUUUACUUAUAAUAACCCCUAUGAAUCUUCCCCAUUUUAAGGAUGAGAAAUGUGAGUUUCCACAAGGUGAGAUAACUAGCCCAAAUUCACAUGGCUAGAGAACAGCAGGGCUGGGAUUCAAUCUGCUGCCCCCAACACCCACACUUCACCACUAUGGUGACCCUCAAGAAGAGCCCCUCAUGCCUCCACUGGAGAACUGUUCUGUUUACCAGGCUAAGCCGUCAGAUCCCUACAGGCAGGGACUGGUUCUGUCUUAUUCUUCACUAGGCCAGCACCCGGCACUCAGUCGUGGCUCAGUGAGUAUUUGUUAAAUGAAUAAAUAAGUGUUGCAGCAUGUGGUCAGGCCCCUUCGUGAGGUUCACGGGGAAGCAGUUUCUGGCAGAAGUGCAUAUGCGCUCAGUCGCUAAGUCAUGUCCGAUUCUUGUAACCCCAUGGACUGUAGCCUGCCAGGCUCCUCUGUCCGUAGGAUUUUCCAGGCAAGAAUACUGGAGUGGGUUGUCAUUUCCUCCUCUAGGGGAUCUUCCUGACCCAGAGAUCAAACCCAUAUCUCCUGCAUUGGCAGGAGGAUUCUUUACCACUGAGCCACCUAGGAAGCCCAUCCAGGCUGAGGAGCAUCCUCCAAAUGGCUCUUUCUUGAACACUCCACUUUGGCUCAGCAACAGUGCCCCCAGUUCAGGCCAAGAUACCCCUCAGGAGGUAUUUCCCAAGACCAAGAGUAAUGAGAGAUUGGACAGGAGGUAAGGCUGGGCAAGAAAGAAAUCUGGAGAAGGGGAAAAGGUCUGAACUAGACACCUCAGAAUCUUUCCGGCCCAGCACCCAUUUAUCUCCUGUUCUGGUAAAAUACAGCCACCAGGCACCAGCUCCCAAUCCAUAUGGGUACGUGCCCCGGGGCCCGUCCAAUCAGUGAAUUCCACCUUUCUGGCCACAGUGGUUACUUGAGGCUGGACACUUCCAUCCUGGGCUAGUGAUAGUCAGGUCCACGGUCUUAUCGGAGAAGGAGAGCUCUUUCUACCAAUAACUGGAGCUGCAGGGUCACAUUGUGAAGCCUGGAGAAUGAAGCCAACUCAAAGGAAAGCAGAGUCAAGAGCUGAAGAGAGUCAGGUCCCUGGUGACCCUGUGAGUUCUGAGUCCUGGGAUCCAGCUCGAUGGCAGCUCUAGACUUGGCCUCAUCAGCUACAUGAGCCGAUAAUCCCCUCUCUGCCCUAAGUCAAAUGGAAAGCGUCCCAACCCAUGUCUCUUCCACCUGCUCGCUCUUCUGGGAGUAUUCUUAGGACAAAGAGACUUUUUCUCUGGGGUUAAAAAAGUAAUUGUCUGGUGACAGAUUGCCCCUGGGGUGAGAGCCACCAUGGAGACAGAGUCCAGCUGGCUUUUCCUAGGAUACACACGAUUGUCAACACCUUUAAAGCAGUAUCAGUCCGUAAUUAAACACUCACUUACUAAUUAUAGUAGCUAGUGUUUUGUCUUGCCAGCACCUUGUUUUGGAAAUACGCUUUGCUGUUUCUCUGUAAUGCUGAGGACGGGAGGGGAGGAAAGGUCAUGACCCAGAUCAGGUUAAUUAUAGUGCCAUACACUCUUGGUCACAGGGGGCUCAUGACAGCCCGAUGAGAAAGUUUCUUUCAGUUCAGUUCAGUCGCUCAGUCGUGUCCAACUCUUUGCGACCCCAUGAAUCGCAGCAAGCCAGGCCUCCCUGUCCAUCACCAACUCCCAGAGUUCACUCAGACUCACGUCCAAAUUAGAACUCGAGGAAAGAAAACUUUCAGGGCCACCAAGCUGGGAGGAUGCAAGGCUGGGUCUGUCAGCUGCCAUGUGCCCUAAUGUGUGGAGCAAGACCAUGUGCAGCAGGAGAAAAGGAACCAACACACAGGCCUAGAGAGUCUGCCUGCUGACUCUCAAGGUCCACUCUCUCCCUCUUCUACUACCAGAACCUUUUUCCUCC
ensembl:lncRNA